UACAGAGGGGGCAAGCGUUGUUCGGAAUUACUGGGCGUAAAGGGCGCGUAGGCGGCCUUCUAAGUCGAACGUGAAAUCCCUGGGCUCAACCCAGGAACUGCGUCCGAUACUGGAAGGCUUGAAUCCGGGAGAGGGAUGCGGAAUUCCAGGUGUAGCGGUGAAAUGCGUAGAUAUCUGGAGGAACACCGGUGGCGAAGGCGGCAUCCUGGACCGGUAUUGACGCUGAGGCGCGAAAGCGUGGGGAGCGAAUGGG
rnacentral:rRNA from 1 species